rnacentral:lncRNA from 1 species
UUUGCUGAGCUUUUUUGUCACUUGCAGAGAGAGAGAGAGAUAGAGGAUAAGGAGAAAAGAGAGAGCUCAACCCUAAUUCCUUUUGUCGCCACUUCUCCACUGAUGACACCACCGGUGCCGUCGAAACCAUCUCCUCCUCUGAUAGAGCUUAUGAUCUUGGAUUUGUUAUUUAGUUCUGGCUGGAAUCCGAGUCGAUCAUUCACAACUACUAUGGCGUCUUCUAGGGUUUCAUCAAAAGUCCAAAUCUAGCAAAUCCGUUGGGUCCAUCACUAAAGCGAAGUUUCUUCAGAGAUGAGAUGAUUCUGGCUGGAAGUCGAGUCGAUCAGAGACAAUGGAUGCUCUCGGGUUUCUGAAGGUUUUAUGAUCUCUGUUGUGUAUGCUGCUGCCUAUGGUGGCAACUGUAUUUCGUGAAGAAAUUGUUACUGAAAGAUUGGCAUGAAUUAGGAGAGGAAAUGGUGCUUUCCUUAACGGAAAUCCUAUCAAAGUAUCUUCACUCUGAACUGGUGAAGUGUCUCGUUACCAUAGAGGCUGGAACAAAGCGUGAUAAGGCCACUCUGGAUGCCACUACAAAUAGAAUCAAUAGCCGACUUCACAAGGUAAGAUCAAUCAGGAUGGGUGGCUCCUAUGCAUUGGGUCUCUGUGGGGUUGCAUGUGGAAGGAAUGAUCUAUUUAUGAGAUCGGCAUUGGUGGUCUUUGGUAUGGAACUCCUUUUUUGUUUUUCCGUUUAUUGAAAUGGCAAUUUUAACCAGUUCGUGUCGAAAGGGUAGAUUCCGGUUAUGUUUUAUCUCCAACGGGUCAAUUGGGUAAAAUAAAAAAUGUGUAUCUAAAACGGAAGUCAGUCAAAUGGCUCAAGAGUCGCUCAAAAUGUAUUUUCAUUUUUUGAUGCAUAAGGUCCUAAAUC